rnacentral:rRNA from 1 species
UAGGGAAUCUUCCACAAUGGACGAAAAGUCUGAUGGAGCAACGCCGCGUGAGUGAAGAAGGUUUUCGGAUCGUAAAGCUCCGUUGUUGGUGAAGAAGGAUAGAGGCAGUAACUGGUCUUUAUUUGACGGUAAUCAACCAGAAAGUCACGGCUAACUACGUGCCAA